UAUCUUGAAAAAGAAAAGAGUAUGAAAGGAAAAGAAUUAAAGGUUUCAAGUAAAGGAUUUGAUUAUUUGAAACGCUGAAUUACAAGAAGCUGUUGCAAUUGAGGGUAAUAGUUACAAUUUAAGAUUUUACCAAAUCAAAACAUGAGAGAAAAAAUUAAAAUAAAAACUAAAAGGUCCCACCUUCCUUUUGCAGUGAGUUCUUUUUUUGUUGCUGAAAAAGCCUUCAAAUAGUGAGCAAUUUCGUCGUCUUAGCUGACGGAUCUUCCAAGAAGCCAUUAUUCAAGGAAUGGAAUGCUCUCAGAGAAAGGAACCAAAACUCCGUCGUGUCGAGAGACUGGAACCACCAUUGUUGGCCUAAUGAAGUUACCGGAAUCACCAUAAGCCAUUGUUUAAUAACUACUUUAUCCAGACAAUGGAAUCAAUAUCUAAAUAUACGGUGUUUAGUAGAAAGUUUUUUCAAGUUUAAUGUUUAUUUCUAGUGAAAAUUUUGUACUUAUGUUUUCUGGUGAUAUCAAUUUUGGUUUACUUCUCGUUUAGCCAUCUUGUUCCGCCCUCAGGAUGGAAUUAUUCUUGGAGCAGAUACGAGAUCCACGACAGGAUCAAUAGUACUCUGAUAAGAAUUGUGAGAAAAUACAUUUUAUGGCACCCAACAUUUACUGCCAUGGAGGCAGGAACUGCUGCUGACGUGUGCUUUUAUGUUUGCACUACUGCCACAUCUCUUUCUCUCUGAAUGCCUAAUAGAUUUUAUCACUGUCCGCUCACUCGGUUUCGCAUUGUUUGUCUCCAGAGAUGGUCAGGUCCCAGCUGUAGCUACAUGGAUAUCAUCCUCGGUUUCACAAUCUUGAUGUCACUGGAUCCCAUUUUCGUACUGUGACUUGGGUUCUACAUAUGAGCAUCAGAUAUGUGCAAAUACUUUCUUGUUGUAUAUAGAACUACUUUUAUUGUUUUUUCGCAGAAUUAUCCUCAUGGAUCUACAGAAACCUUGCCAUUUGUUACAAUGGGCUCUGGUUCCUUAGCUGCAAUGCUUGUUUUCGAGGCUGAAUACCAUGAAGGAUUGACUUCUACAGAAAGAAGAAGGUAUGAAUUUGGUCUGUAUGGCUAUUCGGUCUGGCAUAUUCAAUGACUUGGGAAGUGGGAGUAAGAUAGAUGUUUGUGUAAUAACUAAAGGACACAAAAAAGCACCAGAGAAACCACCAGUUGCCUAAUCCUCACACAUAUCAGUUCUACAGGAUACAUCUCCAGCUCUUCUGCAUGAUAAGACUAUCUUGUUUGAGUGUAUUAUUAUUUGUAACAGAAAUAGCUCUCCC